UAACACGUAGGGAACCUGCCCAUGCGGCCGGGACAACUUCCGGAAACGGAUGCUGAUACCGGAUAAGGAAAGCGAAGGCAUCUUUGCUUUGUUAAAGGAGCUGCAAGGCUCCGCGCAUGGACGGACCUGCGGUGCAUUAGCUGGUUGGUGAGGUAAAGGCUCACCAAGGCGACGAUGCAUAGCCGGCCUGAGAGGGCGAACGGCCACACUGGGACUGAGACACGGCCCAGACUCCUACGGGAGGCAGCAG
rnacentral:rRNA from 1 species